AGCAUGCUAAAAGAAAUGACUGAGUUAUCUUUCUCUUCUCUCUAUAAAAAUACUACGAAAUUUUAUAAAGAGGUAUUGAAAAGUCUAACAAAGGCGGGGGGCGAGUGUCACGGAGUGGCCUCCGGCAGUUAAGAACAGUGUGUCAUUUUCCGGAUCAUGUGAUGUUUGUAGCAUUUAUCAGCUUCCCUCAAUUUGUGAUUUCUUUUUUCAUUCUAAGUUCACCUUCAUCUCAAGUUUUGUAUUUGUAAUUUUGGAUUAUUUUUCUCAAAGGAGUCCUCAAGACAGUCCCCACCAAAGCUGGAUCUGCCUGGAUACAUAAUGUUUUGCCAUCAGUGACUCACCUUCAUGUCAGGGUCCCCGAGCUAAGGACAUUGCCCUGCCGCACAGCGCCUGUCCCACUCCCCCAUUCCUCACCCAACCGGCCUCUGGGGCAGUACCCUACUUCCGCCGCCCUUCACGUCCCAGCAUCACUCCAGGGUUCCUGCUGCCUGCCUCUCCUCAGGAGCCGCUGGGCCCCAAAGACGCGAGGUUCCAGAUCCCUGGAAACUGGAGGCAGAGGGAGAUGUGACACAGACAGAAGGGGAGGAGGCAAUAUGAGCACAGAGGCAGAAACUGGAGUGGCCACCAGAAGCUGGGAAAGGGGACUUGAAGCCCCCCUGUGAGAGGUCAUGAGCCCCCACUCGUGCCUCGGCAGCCCAGCAGCCAUGACAUCCUUGAAGUGGUGCCUCCAGUGGAGCCCUAAUGGGUGAGGGGCAAAGUCUCUCUCCCGUUAGUGCUUUCCUCUGCCCUGACUCCAGCCCUUUCCCAGGGACUCUCUUCUAUGGAGGCUGUGUGCUUCCGCAGUCACUUACCCCACCAAUAAAACAAAAAACUGUUAAAACCUGCUCCUCUAAGUUCUUACCUUCCUAGGGAAGAAUAAUUGUAUCUUCUCCUGCCUCAUUUUCCUACCUUGUCUUUCCCCAGAAGGGAAUGUUGAUUAUUUAUUCUGGAAGCCACUGGAAGAAAAGACUCCUAGUUUUUGAGUUAAGUAAGUCUCCAAGUAUCUACUGAAUGGCUCUGUGCAG
rnacentral:lncRNA from 1 species